rnacentral:rRNA from 1 species
CCUACGGGGGGCAGCAGUAAGGAAUAUUGCUCAAUGGCGGAAACGCUGAAGCAGCAAAGCCGCGUGGGGGAUGAAGGUUUUCGGGUUUGAAACUCCUUUUGUUAGAGAAGAAAAGGACGGUAUGUAACGAAUAAGCACCGUCUAACUACAUGCAAGCAGCGGCGGUAAUACGGCGGGUGCAAGCGUUACACGGAGUCACUGGGCGUAAAGAGCGCGUAGGCGGGAUAGCAAGUCAGUUGUGAAAUCCUACGGCUCAACCAUAGAACUGCAUCUGAAACUGUAAUUCUAGAGUAUGGGAGAGGUAGGUGGAAUUCUUGGUGUAGCGGUAAAAUCCGUAGAGAUCAAGAGGAAUACUCAUUGCGAAGGCGACUUGCUAGAACAUAACUGACGCUGAUGCGCGAAAGUGUGGGGAGCAAACAGGAUUAGAUACCCCGGUAGUC